CGUAGGCUUUGCUGCGCUCCUGCUCUUGGCGUGUCCCUUCGCAGCUGUGCUAUGGCCCUGCUCCCAGAGCUCAGACUCCUGGGUCGAGCCGUCUAAGGUCACCUUUGAGCGCCUUCUGAGGCACGUUUCCCCCUUGGAACAAGGUGGCGCAAAGUCUGUUGGAAAAACAGCAAGCUGAGGUCUGAAGUUGUUUCGGUGUUUAUUGAAUGCCUACUGGGUGCCAACACUGUUCCUGGCGCUAAGGACAGAUGAGAAAAAUGAGGCCCAGAAGAAGUAGUAGGAUAGGUCUUUUAACCCAGUUGAUGGGUUUCCAGAAUCCGGAACUUCACAGCAACCUUGAUCAUCCCUGUCCCCAACAUCAGAGUUUCCAAAGGGAUUGGACCUAGAGGUGCUUCACAACUGAGCCACAUCUCAAG